UACGUAGGGUGCAAGCGUUGUCCGGAUUUAUUGGGCGUAAAGAGCUCGUAGGCGGUUUGGCAAGUCGGGUGUGAAACCUCCAGGCUCAACCUGGAGUCGCCAUCCGAUACUGCUAUGACUUGAGUCUGGUAGGGGAUCACGGAAUUCCUGGUGUAGCGGUGAAAUGCAUAGAUAUCAGGAGGAACACCGGUGGCGAAGGCGGUGAUCUGGGCCAGUACUGACGCUGAGGAGCGAAAGCGUGGGAGCGAACAGG
rnacentral:rRNA from 1 species